rnacentral:rRNA from 1 species
CCGGACCUGACUGCUAUCGGAUUGAUACUAAGCCAUGCGAGUCGUUGUAGCAAUACAAGGCAUACGGCUCAGUAACGCGUAGUCAACCUAACCUAUGGACGGGAAUAACCUCGGGAAACUGAGAAUAAUGCCCGAUAGAACAUUAUGCCUGGAAUGGUUUAUGUUCCAAAUGAUAUAUCGCCAUAGGAUGGGACUGCGGCCUAUCAGUUUGUUGGUGAGGUAAUGGCCCACCAAGACUAUUACAGGUACGGGCUCUGAGAGGAGUAGCCCGGAGAUGGGUACUGAGACACGGACCCAGGCCCUAUGGGGCGCAGCAGGCGAGAAAACUUUGCAAUGUGCGAAAGCACGACAAGGUUAAUCCGAGUGAUUUCUGCUAAAGAGAUCUUUUGUUAGUCCUAGAAACACUAACGAAUAAGGGGUGGGCAAGUUCUGGUGUCAGCCGCCGCGGUAAAACCAGCACCUCAAGUGGUCAGGAUGAUUAUUGGGCCUAAAGCAUCCGUAGCCGGCUCUGUAAGUUUUCGGUUAAAUCUGUACGCUCAACGUACAGGCUGCCGGGAAUACUGCAGAACUAGGGAGUGGGAGAGGUAGACGGUACUCGGUAGGAAGUGGUAAAAUGCUUUGAUCUAUCGAUGACCACCUGUGGCGAAGGCGGUCUACCAGAACACGUCCGACGGUGAGGGAUGAAAGCUGGGGGAGCAAACCGGAUUAGAUACCCGGGUAGUCCCAGCUGUAAACUAUGCAAACUCAGUGAUGCAUUGGCUUGUGGCCAAUGCAGUGCUGCAGGGAAGCCGUUAAGUUUGCCGCCUGGGAAGUACGUACGCAAGUAUGAAACUUAAAGGAAUUGGCGGGGGAGCACCACAAGGGGUGAAGCCUGCGGUUCAAUUGGAGUCAACGCCGGG